UCCUUACACAAUAACUCAAGAUACCCAAUAAGACUAUGGAAAUGACUCUUCUAAAAGAAUAACUAAUAAUAAAAAAAACAAACAAGAAAAGUAACAAACAGAACGUUUUAUUCGCAAUCCUCUUGUGGAUCGAGUUCUGGAUCUUGGGCCUCUUGAUAUGAAAUGGUUAAUGAAAGAGUGAGUUAUACUAACCCAAUAAAAAUAUCACGCUACUCACCGACACAGAAAUGAACGUUG
rnacentral:lncRNA from 1 species